UUGAACGCUGGCGGCAGGCCUAACACAUGCAAGUCGAGCGGAUGAAGGGAGCUUGCUCCUGGAUUCAGCGGCGGACGGGUGAGUAAUGCCUAGGAAUCUGCCUGGUAGUGGGGGAUAACGUCCGGAAACGGGCGCUAAUACCGCAUACGUCCUGAGGGAGAAAGUGGGGGAUCUUCGGACCUCACGCUAUCAGAUGAGCCUAGGUCGGAUUAGCCAGUUGGUGGGGUAAAGGCCUACCAAGGCGACGAUCCGUAACUGGUCUGAGAGGAUGAUCAGUCACACUGGAACUGAGACACGGUCCAGACUCCUACGGGAGGCAGCAGUGGGGAAUAUUGGACAAUGGGCGAAAGCCUGAUCCAGCCAUGCCGCGUGUGUGAAGAAGGUCUUCGGAUUGUAAAGCACUUUAAGUUGGGAGGAAGGGCAGUAAGUUAAUACCUUGCUGUUUUGACGUUACCAACAGAAUAAGCACCGGCUAACUUCGUG
rnacentral:rRNA from 1 species